GCGCUAUUUAUAGGGAACAGAAGACACCAAUUGUCAAAAAUCCCAGAAACUGUCAUAUCUUAGUUAAUGCGGAGAGUCAGAAAACAGACCUUGCUGUUCGCAAGUCUUUUUCGAAAGUCAUUUUUCGUCCUUUUCCAAUAUUCGUCCGUUCCGGCGGAACCGAGGAACGAGAGAGGAAUUUGAUGAGUGUGGACAAUAGGCGUGUGGCGCUCCAGGACCGCGUCGUGCCAAUCUUUUCGGCUCUGCGGUGCAGCGAGGUGAUGUGCAGCGACCAAACCCGGGCCCACAGCAUGUCCAAACCGAUUAGGGGUCAGGGACGACUGAAGCAAGACCUCUGCAAUUAUAGUCCUUACAGCGGUUCCCAACCAAAAACAUCACCUCUAAAUCCCAGGCCAGCUCCAAUCUGAAACAGCCGAGUUAUGGGUAAAUAAAGUGUUCGGGAAUAAUCGGGCUAUCAAACGUAUCAGUAUCGAAUGAAAUAUCAAAUUAAACGCUUCCGCGAGCGUUAAAAGCGAACAUAAUCCAGCAGCUUCGAUAUUGACCAACAACUCAACAUAAACAUUUUUUCUCGACUUUCCAACUCUGCGGAAGACUGGCAAGAGAAAUUCGAUUGAGGUUAUAGAUCUCGUCGUCCCAUCACUGGAACAGCUGUUAUUUCUCCCCUAAACCCGAUAAUCAAACACAGACACGGCGAUCGCUUAGGCCUCGCAUCCCGGACCAAGGAUUAACAGUCGUUUAGACUCAAUUUUAGACUACUAAAUAAGAAUAAGCGUUCGUUUCUAAAAUUGCUUGCACGAAUUUGAUUAGGUUAUUAAUGGAUCGGAUGAAUUUGGCACAAUAAGUCUUAACAAUUAGGUCGCAUUUGGGACGACUUAAAUUUAUCUACUUAGGAAAGCGCGAUGAUGACUCACCCCCACGUUCCCGACGCAGGUAAACACCACCCCAAAAAACCAUAAGAAAAUCUAUCCCAUUAUCUCAUUAGCCACAGCCAACCAAAGAGCGGUGACAAGAAAUUAUUAUAUUAUUCCCCGCUGGGCCCGAAUGGAAACGAGCAGUCUUUGAGAGUGGUCGCUCUAGUUUAGAUUAAUGGUUCCCAGCGCUUAUUCUGCGGUGCGGGUGAAAGGGCCAGGAUCACUAAUGAUUAUAAUAUAAUGUGUGGUGAUAACCACUCCCUUUGAGAUAUUAUCGCGCAGUGGGCAAUGCUCAGGGGACGGGCUGCGGGGCUGAAAAUCAGCAGAUAGCUACUAAACAGGAGCAGAUUUCUGCACUGAAGCUCCAAGAGCAUGCACGAGUACAGUUCUGUCUGCUGCUGAUAUCAACAGCCGGGGGCUGAAUUAAAACAUUGUGUAUUUUUUUUUCUUCUGUGAGCCCAGAAUGACUUUUUUCCGUUUAAAAAAAAAAAGCCAAGGACUAAUGUUCGGAUAGCUUUCAUUAAACACCGACUACAAAUGAUGAACUUGGGGGAACAUAAUUGUCUGAGCGUUGCUUCCAUCUCAUUAUUGCACAAUAAACGAGGUUGGCUCCUUACAAUCUCCAAAAAUAAUCUUAACCAACAUGUUUUUUUUUUUUUUUUUACAAACAAGACUGCUUGUUUUUGUAGAACCGGUGCAUCGCAAUAAAUCUGUCAGGCCCAAAGACGUUGACUUACAACCCGAGCUAUCCUCAAAAUAAUAGCGCAAAGAAAAGCGGCAUCUCCGAAGCGCUUAAACGUCCCUCAGUUGAAUAAAAAAAAUAACCAACAUGGAUUAAUAGCGUAUUAAUAGCCGUUUUGCCUUUGAUAAACUGUGAAAGCAAGAAGAAAGAUCCGUUUAAACUGAACACAUUAGAUUUAGAUAUGUGAUCUGAAGCGCUCGUUUAUCUGCGUAAUAGACCGAGGAAACGUGCGGAAGAAACUUCAUUAGUACGACUAGCAGAAAAUAUAACAAUCCAAUUAAAACGCACACAAUAAGCCCACCUAUGGUCUUUAAAUGGACAAAAAUGUAAACGGUGUUAAUCGAUGUAAUCCAAGUUCAGAAACCAAAAAAUACGAACGGACCGGACACAUCCCUUCUCAUGGCGAUCGACUGCCGUGGAUCAAUAAUAAAGCUGCCUGACUAACUUCUCCGAGAGUCUGCAGCGAACACGGGAAAAGGGGGGUGAUCCUAAAGGACCACGGGAGACAAGGCCCCGGCAAUCCCUCCUCAUUCAUCUUCAUUGCCUUUGUGUGCACAAAAAGCAAGCCCUGCAUAAGGUAAAGCCACCAUCAAAGCCAUGGCUUUAUUUUAUAUCCUAUAGAUCAGGAGGGAGACAAAGCUUUAUUUUCGCCAGGAGAGAGAUAUUUUACCUCCGCCGUACGGUUUUAUGUUGGAGAGGUGUCAGACAGACGAAAUGAAUGGCUAAUGCAUAGGCAAAACGCACUCACCCCAGCAUGCCUCACGUCAGCAGGCGCUGUCGGGAUUUAGGGCCUGUGAAAGCCGAGCGCGAGACUGAGCGCGAGCGUAUAAAUACGUGAUGUUCUCGACUAGUCCAGAUACACGCGCCUACAGUGCCAUUUUUAAAUCUAUACGACCGGCGAUAGUUAUAGUAAUAGUUAAGGAGAUUUAUAAAGGGAUUCCUCGCCAUACCCCGAAUCUCCUCACUGUUAGUCAUUACCACCGCGGCAAUCCUGGUCUGAUGAAAACGCUAUAAAUAGCAGGACAAAUACAAACAGAAAAGCAUUCUUUUGAUACGCGGAAACAGACUUUGGAGCGCGCGCGAUGCGCGUGUGUUUUACGUGCACGUGAUGCUGAAUUUUGUUGGCGCGCGUAUGAUCCGCAGUUUUGGCGUACAUAUGAUAAGUCCAUUUUUGCGUGCAAAUAAUACGACAAAUCGAAACUAUUGAUGUGCAUUUUCACGAGAUCCGGUGGUUUUAAGUAUAAAUGUAAGAUAGUAAUUUAUGGUUGGUACUUGAAUAUGAACAAUAAGCACACUUUUGAGUUUGCUUGAGGAUGCUUGGUCUCAUGGGGGUGUGAAUAAAUGAUGAUAAUUGAAUUGAUUAAACAUUGAUAAUUAUGUCAUUUUGCGCCAAACUCUUAUCCUACUUGGGACCUUCUCGGAAUCAUGUAGCCUAUUCAGUUCGUUAUACGGGCAACAUUUUAUUUGAAUGGGAUAAUUUAUUUCAGGGAGUGGUUUAUAUGCAUGGGCUGUGGCUAUCUCAGUCAUAAACAUUGAGAAUGUAAGCGUAUACGGCAUCAUUUCUGCGUCCAUUUAUUUAUGUUCUGUCAGGUAUCAGGUCAAAGCUUUUUAGCAAAUUUCUAACAUGUUCUAUUCAUCUUGGAUUUUACACUUCAUAAAACAAACCAGCACCGUGCACCGAUAAAGAAAACGAUCGUUAGACGAUUGGCCUCUCAAAACCAAGACUUUCAAAACCGUUCUUAUUUGAAAGGGACAAAAGUUGAAGUGAACUGCUCACACAGAGAGCGAAAAAAAAAAAAUACAUGCUGCACUGAAAAGAAAAUAUUCUCAUUUUCGGCAGACAACAAAAG